UAUAAAAUAGAGUUUAUUCACUCCAGAACGCGCCACCUCAGCAGACAGGUCAGAAAGUCAUGCUCUAAAAAGUGACACGUGUCUCAGGAAGACAAAACACAUUCUCUCCCCUUCAUUCGACGGCGUUGACACCUGAGUUUCUUCAGAUUAUCUGAAACGGUCAGAUUUAAGGCUUUCGUGUUAAAUCUCAUUGAUUCAGUCGCUCACGAUGAUUUCUGCGAGACGGUGUGUGUUAGGUAUAAAUAUGUGAACAUAAGGGCGAUCAAGCUUCCAUGCGUUCAUGAUAUUUUGAGAUGCAAUCAACUCAAGCUUUAAACCAGGUCUUCGUGGCUUCAUCAAAACAUGAAUCUAAGAAGGCUCCGUACAAUGAUUUUGAGGGUCCCGGUUUCAAUCCCUAAUACCGUUUAAGAAUCAGUUGACUGGAAGCGGCAGUACCUAAAGUCUGGGUAGAUCGAGUUUCAAGGUUUUGCUUUCAUACUACUCUGACUACUUUAUGAAAUCUGAUAGAAGUUCUUCAAAAGGAAACUAACGUUAAUUCUUUGAACAAAUUGUUUUUUGAGGUUUUGUUUUAAGCCUUCUUCUCUGACCAUUUUAUGAAAAUCUGAUGUUAUCACUUACAAGGUUUUGAGAAAUUAACAGAGUCUUGGGAAGGAAUUGAAUUAAAAGAGGGUGAACAACUUCAAACAUGCAAGGCAGAAUAAACCACUUUGGCCUCGAAAUUACCUUCUUCCCAACUUAUUAUCCACUGCAAAAAAACCACUGGAAAUGUAAAGCGUCAAUUAUAGAGAAAGUUAGCCUUAUUUUCAAUUUAAUUGCUUAUAGAUUGAGAACUAACCUGUAGGAAAUGUCGGUGAUGGAUUGUUUAUAGAUUCUAUAUCAGAUUGAUUAAUGGGCUAACAGGGUUUAAUGAUGGCAAGAAUUUUCAUAUAAUAUUGUAGGAAAUGUUUUCUCACAGAUUAAUUGUUUUCUGGUCUGGUCAGGUCAACAAGAUUUGGUUUCCUAAAGUUUCUGGUGUUGUUCCUGUCAUCCUGAUGUGAUAACUUCUAAUUGUUCUGUGUUGGCAAGGGGAUAAAGCUUUAAGAUUAAAUGAGUGCAUUGUUAAGGCUCCCUUAUCUCAGUAAAUUCAUCGCUCAAAAGAUUGCGUUGCAGGUUAGAUCAUUCCGAGAAUUUCAAGAGCUUCACUUGGAAGAACGUCUUCAACUCCUCCGGGGGUUGCUGGUUUGUCGGAGAGCAAUGUUGUAGACAUCGAGAAGGUGUAUAGAAAUGAUACCUUCUUUGAAAGUAGGAGUCACGUGCAAAACAGAAGGUGAUAGUUCAAGCUUGGAUCACUCUAAAACUUUUCAAUUGACUCUUAGGCGCUAUUCCUCCCUCUCCUUACCACAAAGAGAAAGGCUUAUGGGCUCUUCUUGCGGAUUCAAACAAUGUAUGGCUCUUUCAAAAGGUUAGUUUCAUGGAUGGAGCUGAAGCUAUACUCUUCUUCAACUGAUGUUUGUUAGACAUUGAAAAGUUUAGGAGCAAGCGUCGAGGCAAAGAACAAUGAAGUUAGAGAAGGUUAAAAGCCGAUCAAGAUUGGAAAUGGGGAAACGCUAAAAACUUGCAGAAGAUACUAAUAAUUUGACUUGCUUAUGAGUUUGGCGUAAGAGAUGCUUGGAUCAGUUGUGAUCAAAAGACAUUACUUAAAGUUGAGGUUUUGAAAAGAACCAGUGAUUUGGAGGGUGAGGUUACAGAAGAAGGCAUGGAGGAGGAAUAAGAAAAUGAGAAUGAAGAGAAUUAUGAAAGCAAAUAUAGUGAGGAAGAGGAAGAUAAGAAGAAAGGAUCAAAGAGAGUAAAAAAGAUGGGAUCAGAUGAAAAUUGAAAAACAAAAAGGCGUCAAACCUGCACUGUGUAGGUUUUUGCCUCCGAAAUUUACAGUGAUACUCAAUGACUUUAGCCUGUUAUUUGUUCUUCCGCUGAUUUCGUAGACGUUUUGGAUUUUGAUGGUUUUGGACUUUUGUUAACUCUUUAAUUUAUGUCUUGAUCCGACUCUUCUAAGCUUUACUGUAAAAUAAGUUAAUGCUUCCUGUUUCGGUUAUUUACCUGGCUUUGGAUGUGUUUUAAAGGUUUUACUGGGUA